rnacentral:lncRNA from 1 species
GCCAACAUAAAAACACAGGUCACCUACUCUCUCCUCAGACUUCCUUCUUUAAAUUUUAGGCACUUCCUUCUCUAAAUUUCAAAGCGAACGAAGCCCUAGACCGAAAAACAAAUCAAAUCUUCAAAAAUCGGAAACCCUAGAAUCGGAAGCAAUAGAAUCAGAGCGAACGUGCCCUAGAAUCGAUUCCCUCACAAAUUGAAAGUCCAAAUCUUCACAAAUCGGUAAGCCACUUCUUCACAAACCGUCUAUUCUCUUCCUUUAUUAUUCCUUUAUUUGUAUUCUUAGAACGCGGUAGUACUUCUCCCCCAUCAAUUUAGGAUAUGAAUAUGAGGUUGAUUUUUGGUUGUAUUUCAUUUACGAUCUGUGGGUUAUCUAGUUAUCCUGAAACUCCCAGUCUGUUUCCCCUCUUUUACUAGUAAAUUUUGCUUAUGCUGGAAAUGCUAUGAUUUUUACUACCUGUAGUUAAAAACUUUGUGCAGAUCUCAGCAUUUUCAUCCAUUUGGUACCUCAAUUUUUGGGUAACUAUUCAUCUGCAAUGAUUACACAUAUUUCCCCUACAUAAGGUAAAGGCACCAUGAGGUUUAUGUUGGGUUUCUGUGAUUUUUUCCUUUUAUAUUUUAAGACUGAAUGCCAUAUGUAUCAAUUACAAUUUAAACAUAGUUGUAUAUAUCUAUAACAGUAGUGUAUGUUUCUUAAAAUUAGAAACUACCUUGAAAUAUUACUUGUUUAGGAAGAAGCAUUUUGAUUUAAUUUCUGUUGAAUUAAUAAGGCCUAAUGAAAAAAACAAAUCAAACGGUAAUGCACUAAUGCUCCUAUAACUUAAGUAGUUAAGUGGUAAUGAAAAUUUAAUUCUUUAUGCUUUUGUGGUAUAUUUGAGAUGACUCACAUUUGUGUUGGGUAUAGUUGAGCUUAAUAUCUGUUGGCAUAGUUCAAGGUUCUGAUCCAACUUUUACUCAUACAACCAAGAAAAUGAAGGUAAAAACCCUAUGAAUCUAAUUUGAUGAAUAGGAGUGCACAUAUACUAAACUAAAGUCUUCAAUUUUUUACAUUUGGAAAACUUAAUUGUCAUAUAUGGUUAUUAAUUGCCGUGCAAUUAUGGAUGUGCAAUCUGUGGAAUUGAGCCAUUAAAACAUCAUAUAUCAGUUCCUGAAGUAUAGGUUGAAGUGCUAAUAUAUGUCAAAAAAUGAUGUUACUUUGAACCAUCAUAUUUAGGGAGCACUUUGCAUACGUAUCUCUGAAUAGAAUAUAUGAUUUUAACUUCAGUUUAGAAAAAGAGGAGUUUGUAAUUGUUCAGCUCCAGGAAUCAGUAUAUGUUUUUAAUCUUUAUUUUUUUUCAUCUGGUAAAUUAUGUUGUUGGCACAAGUAUAUUUACUAGUUUUGGACUAUUUUUCUAGUAUUUAGAAAUGCUUGGAGUAGUAUGGUAAACUUUUCCAAAUUUAGGACUCAAGCAAUUUUAUAAUGUCAUUUGAUACAAUUUCAUCGUUAGGUAAGCAACUUUGACUCGAUUACUAUGUUUUACGAUUGUAUACCCUUGCUUUGUAUAGUCCUUCUCAAUUGAUAAUUAAUUGACAUCAUGUUUUAUUCUCAGAUUUGUCUGACAGAAGCUCAAAAGCAGAAAACUGUGCAAGAAUAAAUGAAACUGGAACAGUUGGACAAGCUGGCUAAAUUAGAAGAUUGGCGCAAAGAAUUGAAGCUAUUGGAGGAUAAAAAGGCUGAACUGGCAGCAUUAUGAAUUUAGGUUGUGUUGUAUGGUGGAACACUCUAGUUUUUAUUCAUAGUUGCUUGAUGGAGAUGUAGGCUCUGCAUAUUGAAAACAGAAGUUCAUCUAUCUAGAUUUUGUUUGGUCCAACCAGCUAUGUUCUAAACAUUUGAUUUGUAUCAGAUUCAAAUACAUUCCACCAUUGUAGG